AUCCUUUGAUCCUGGCUCAGAACGAACGCUGGCGGCGUGCUUAACACAUGCAAGUCGAACGCGAAAGGGACUUCGNNNNNNNNNAAAGUGGCGCACGGGUGAGUAACGCGUGGAUAAUCUNNNCAAUGGUCUGGGAUAACAUUUCGAAAGGGGUGCUAAUACCGGAUAAGACCACGGAGUCUUUGGACUCAGCGGUAAAAGGUGGGGACCUUCGGGCCUACCGCAAUUGGAUGAGUCCGCGUACCAUUAGCUAGUUGGUAGGGUAAAGGCCUACCAAGGCGACGAUGGUUAGCUGGUCUGAGAGGAUGAUCAGCCACACUGGAACUGAGACACGGUCCAGACUCCUACGGGAGGCAGCAGUGGGGAAUUUUGCGCAAUGGGGGAAACCCUGACGCAGCAACGCCGCGUGAGUGAUGAAGGCCUUCGGGUCGUAAAGCUCUGUCAGAGGGGAAGAAAUGCGGGGUGCUAAUAUCACUUCCGCUUGACGGUACCCUCAAAGGAAGCACCGGCUAACUCCGUGCCAGCAGCCGCGGUAAUACGGAGGGUGCGAGCGUUGUUCGGAAUUAUUGGGCGUAAAGCGCGUGUAGGCGGUUUGUUAAGUCUGAUGUGAAAGCCCCGGGCUCAACCUGGGAAGUGCAUU
rnacentral:rRNA from 1 species